rnacentral:lncRNA from 1 species
UAGAGUCAUAACCAUUCUUAAUAAUUUGAUGGGUAUUCAUUUCUUCCCUAAAUUUAUAUGUCUAGAACUAGAGCUAGAGUGUAUGCCUACAUACACACACACACACACACACACACCCAUACAUAUAUAUUCAAACAUAAUAUAUGUAUAUCCACAUGUAUUCAAACACAGAAUUAUGUUUAGAUAAUUAUGGUUAUAUGCUGGUAUGCCAGAGCCAGACUGCCUGGCUUCGGUUCCAGGCCCUAGUUGGAUAGCUUUGGGCUACUCAGCCUCUCUAUGCCUGGACUUCUUCAUCUUUGAAACGGGAUAAUAAUAAUACUUAUCCCAUAAAGUUCUUGUGAGAAUUAAAUGAAAUAAUAUAUGAAAAGCCCUUAGAACAGGCAUUGGCACAUUGUGAAGGUAAUGUAUUAGCUAUUUUGAUGAUUAUGCAUUUUGUCUGCAACUUUUUAUUUAACAUAUGAGGGAAAGUAGACAAACAUAGCCAUUUUCAAUGAUUCCAUAAUAUGCCAUAGCACGAGUAUACCAUUGUUUAUCCAACCAUUUCUCUCUUGAGAAACAUUGCAGAUUUUUUUGCAGUUUCUACGAUUACAAAUAAUGCUGCAAUAAACAUCUUUCUACAUAUA